GGGGAAUAUUGCACAAUGGGGGAAACCCUGAUGCAGCAACGCCGCGUGAGUGAUGACGGCCUUCGGGUUGUAAAGCUCUGUCUUCAGGGACGAUAAUGACGGUACCUGAGGAGGAAGCCACGGCUAACUACGUGCCAGCAGCCGCGGUAAUACGUAGGUGGCGAGCGUUGUCCGGAUUUACUGGGCGUAAAGGGAGCGUAGGCGGAUUUUUAAGUGAGAUGUGAAAUACUCGGGCGUAACCUGAGUGCUGCAUUUCAAACUGGAAGUCUAGAGUGCAGGAGAGGAGAAGGGAAUUCCUAGUGUAGCGGUGAAAUGCGUAGAGAUUAGGAAGAACACCAGUGGCGAAGGCGCUUCUCUGGACUGUAACUGACGCUGAGGCUCGAAAGCGUGGGGAGCAAAC
rnacentral:rRNA from 1 species